rnacentral:rRNA from 1 species
UCGACGGGAAUGCCCGCUGAUGCGAUUUCGGUCAAAUCAUGUGGCAUUCGAGUGGCGGACGGGUGAGUAACGCGUGGGUAACCUGCCUUACACAGGGGGAUAACACCUGGAAACAGGUGCUAAUACCGCAUAAGCGCACAGGGCCGCAUGGCCCGGUGUGAAAAACUCCGGUGGUGUAAGAUGGACCCGCGUCUGAUUAGCUUGUUGGCGGGGUAGGGGCCCACCAAGGCGACGAUCAGUAGCCGGCCUGAGAGGGUGGACGGCCACAUUGGGACUGAGACACGGCCCAAACUCCUACGGGAGGCAGCAGUGGGGGAUAUUGGACAAUGGGGGAAACCCUGAUCCAGCGACGCCGCGUGAGUGAAGAAGUAUUUCGGUAUGUAAAGCUCUGUCAGCAGGGAAGAAAGAAAUGACGGUACCUGACCAAGAAGCCCCGGCUAACUACGUGCCAGCAGCCGCGGUAAUACGUAGGGGGCAAGCGUUAUCCGGAAUUACUGGGUGUAAAGGGAGCGUAGACGGUGAUGCAAGUCUGGAGUGAAAGGCGGGGGCCCAACCCCCGGACUGCUCUGGAAACUGUGUAACUUGAGUGCAGGAGAGGUAAGCGGAAUUCCUAGUGUAGCGGUGAAAUGCGUAGAUAUUAGGAGGAACACCAGUGGCGAAGGCGGCUUACUGGACUGUAACUGACGUUGAGGCUCGAAAAGCGUGGGGAGCAAACAGGAUUAGAUACCCUGGUAGUCCACGCC